AAUCAACGCUGGCGGCGUGCCUAACACAUGCAAGUCGCACGAGAAAGUGGAGCAAUCCAUGAGUAAAGUGGCGCACGGGUGAGUAACACGUGAAUAAUCUACCUCCGAGUGGGGAAUAACUGAGAGAAAUCUUAGCUAACACCGCAUAACACUUACGAGUCAAAGCAGCAAUGCGCUUGGAGAGGAGUUCGCGGCCGAUUAGUUAGUUGGCGGGGUAAUGGCCCACCAAGACGAUGAUCGGUAUCCGGCCUGAGAGGGCGCACGGACACACUGGAACUGAAACACGGUCCAGACUCCUACGGGAGGCAGCAGUGGGGAAUUUUGCGCAAUGGGGGAAACCCUGACGCAGCAACGCCGCGUGGAGGAUGAAGUAUCUUGGUAACGUAAACUCCUUUCGAUUGGGAAGAUAAUGACGGUACCAAUAGAAGAAGCCCCGGCUAACUUCGUGCCAGCCGCCGCAAGUAAG
rnacentral:rRNA from 1 species